GGUGUUGUAGACUUUGGUUAAGUCGCCUCCGUGGAAUGGAGGAGAUGUGGGUUCGAAUCCCGCCGGUGUCG